GCGGCUUCGUCCUCGCCGGUGGUGCCCUCCCGGGCGCGGCGCCAGCGGGCUCUGGAUCCCCGAGGUGCCCGGGCCUCCCCCGAGCCGGCACCUGAGCCGCUCCCCUCCGCUCCGGACCGGGCGAGAAGGAGACUGCCACGCCACUGAGCUACCUGGGGCCACCUGCUGCCCGGGCCCGGCCUCUACCCAGAGCGCUCUCCCGUGCGCGAGAAGGCGCAGGACGUGGCCAGAACACCGUUGGGAAGAAGCCAGCAGCACGGAGGGGGAGGGCGCUGAGGCCGCCGCCACCUUCACUUUUAAUUAAGCACGUGAUUUAACUCAAAAAGAGGGUGACUCUUGCCUCUUAUUCAGCCGCCAGCUAGAAAUAAUGCCCAGGAGGGUUCUAAACGCCCAUCAAUAGGCCCAGGCCAGGAGCUCCUUCUUGACAUACUCGGAACACAAUACCAGCCCUUCUCACUUUCCCACCUGAUCUGAGCGCCUUCAAAAGCCUUCUUAGUUUAGUCUCUGACAAUAAGCUUUCUAAAACUCUGAACACCUGGCAAAUAUCUGGGACUUAAUAACGCUGUGAACUUUUUUCCUCCAGUGAAAACCAAAGCACUGGAUUAAAAUCAACUAAUUCCCUGAUACAAGAUGUAACCAGAGUGAGGGUUUAAUAAAUGUUCUUGAGAUGACCGAACUGAUACAUUAAUUGAGCUAGUUUUGAUGAUGGUAGAAUCAAAAAUUUACAAGAUACUGUGAGAGAUGUAUCUUACACUAGACCUCAAUAGAACUCGGAACUGCCGCUCCACUGUAGAUAUUUUUGUGAAGUUAAUAAUUGGCAACAUGUUUAGCGCUUUUUGUAUGUCAGGCACUGUUCUUAGAGAUUUGCAUGAAUUAUCCCACUUAAUCCUCACUUUAACCCUAUAAAGCAGUUAAGUGUCGUUAUAUUCUCACUUUUCAGCUGAGGGAGCUGAGGCACGAAGAGGCUAAAUAACGUGUCCAUUCACAAAGAAUAAAGUGAACUUUUCAUAAAGUGUCUGGCUUUCAUUAUGGAUGAAUAUAUAUUAGUCAAAUGCUAUUAAAUACUUGACCACACUUCCAAAAGGGGCAACAACACACCUGGUGAACAACACUGGUGUUUCGUGUUUGUUCAGCACAGUUUUGUCUUCCAAGGCACUUUCAUAAUAGAGCCUGACCCUGCCGGUAGAAAUCUGGUGUACCUUGACACCAGCACUGCAAUAAAAGGGCCCUUUUUGAAACUGGAGUUAAUAUGAGACAAGCAGAAGUUGUACUUUUCGCUUAGGUAUUCGGAAUUUUAAAUUAUACUGGAAAUAUUAUUUUAUGGUUUUAUAACUAUAUUAAUGACUAUUGUUACCAUUUAAUGUUUAAAUGUAUGAAAUGAGAGUAGAAUUCAUUAUUAUAUUGCUGUUUUGUUUUUUGAGGUCUUUUUCCCUGUUGUCCCUGGCAUUCAACGAGUUCC
rnacentral:lncRNA from 10 species